rnacentral:lncRNA from 10 species
AGAUCGAGACCAUCCUGGCUAACACAGUGAAACCCCAUCUCUAUUGAAAAAGUACAAAAAAAAUUAGCCGGGCGUGGUGGCGGGUGCCUGUAGUCCCAGCUACGUGGGAGGCUGAAGCAGGAGAAUGGCAUGAACCCAGGAGGCGGAGCUUGCGGGUGUGGCCACUGUAAGAAAAUGAAGCCGGAGUUUGAGAAGGCAGCAGAAGCCCUCCAUGGAGAAGCGGAUCUGUCGAUGCCACUGUCAACAAGGCCCUGGCAGAAAGAUUCCACAUCUCAGAGUUUCCUACGUUGAAGUAUUUUAAGAAUGGAGAGAAAUACGCAGUGCCUGUGCUCAGGACAAAGAAGAAGUUUCUCGAGUGGAUGCAAAACCCUGAGGCCCCCCCGCCCCCAGAGCCCACGUGGGAAGAGCAGCAGACAAGCGUGUUGCACCUGGUGGGGGACAACUUCCGGGAGACCCUGAAGAAGAAGAAACACACCUUGGUCAUGUUCUACGCCCCUUG